AGAGGCCCUGCGGGGGGAAGAAGGUGAGGGACGUUUUAACUGGAUAGCAGUACUGUCUGGGUUUAGAGACUCCACAGAAGACCCGAGUGACGGACGAGAGUCGAGUUGGACCUUCCGGUCGGGAAUCACGCUUUUUUGAAGGCAAUUCGUUGGAGUCGAAAUCGCAGACGCAAGAUAAGCAGUAGGAACAUUAUUCUUUUAUUUAUUGUCUUACUUACAUUAUUGUCUUAAUGAUGUGGAAAGGCAAAGAUAGGAGAGGUUGUGUGGAUCGAUACCUGCCACGUGGGCGAGUGGGUAACUCUGGUUAGUGUCCCUGGGGAUUCCUUUUUAACCACGGUCAGGUUAAAAAUAGUCCAGAACUUUCAUUAUGUGAAAAUUCUGGAAAAAUAGUCCCAACUACCUAAGGGAAUUAAGAAGUAGGCCUACAGAUUCUCCGCAUGGCCUGAGUGAGGCCCAAGGAGCUAGGCCGCCCUGGAAUUAAACCCUUAGAAGUAGUAUGACCUGUACAAUUUUGUGCCUUUCGUUGUCUGGUCUAGGGGGUAGUACAUACGCCAAGCGUGAUUGGCUUGGUUUAAGCCAUUUCAGGGGAGGUGUCGCCUUUCAUUGUCUGGUCCAGGGGUAAUACACACGGCAAGCUUAAUCAACUUGACGGAGCCGGCUCGGGGAGGGUGUCUAAUGUAAAGGCUCGAAACACCCGACGAUCCGAGAGUGCAUUACUGAUGAUGUGUCCUGGCACAUGAUAAUGAGAGGUUUCGAUUUUCCUAUACAAGCAGCUGGCUUAGGAGCUCAGACUUUAAAUUCUGCAGACUAACCUUUGCCAGCUAAACAUAUAGAUCCACCAGCCCUACACUUAAACCUAAUCCUAAAGUCCAAAAGGGGCAUACACCCCCAUAAAUAGGCAAAUUCCAAGAGGGGUAGUCACCCCCAUAAACCCUAGGCAACUUCCAAGGGGGGCAUACACCCCCACAAACCCUAGGCAUUCCCCGAUUAACUUUUGAUAUUCUGAGAGGGGUAGGAUUCAACAAGGGCAAGUGUGGGACCUGGUUAAUGAAGGCGUGGGCCAGAUCAAAGUGGCAGGGUGAUGUGAAACAGAAUCUCAAGUGAGGAGAUCAGAAAUCACAAGAGGGCUUUUUAGCCCACUGCCCGCAUAAUUUCAACCUAACCUAUCAGUGACACGCUCUUCAUUCUCCCGGCCCCAGAAAGGCCAAUAAGAAAACCCAGAUAUUUUAUUUCACCUAUUAGGUGUUCAAAAAUUCAUAGUUAAAAGAAUGGAGAGGUUCACCAAUCAGCAGCUAAUGUACCUUUAAGGGCUGAGGUGAGCCGGUCUCCUAGCAACAGCCAGGUUUGCAGCAGGUGGACAAUUAGGUUUUAGUAUCACAUUAGUUAAAAGAGGCCCUGCGGGGGGAAGAAGGUGAGGGACGUUUUAACUGGAUAGCAGUACUGUCUGGGUUUAGAGACUCCACAGAAGACCCGAGUGACGGACGAGAGUCGAGUUGGACCUUCCGGUCGGGAAUCACGCUUUUUUGAAGGCAAUUCGUUGGAGUCGAAAUCGCAGACGCAAGAUAAGCAGAUUUGUUACUCAAGUAAUAUCACUGUGCACAGUACUGGGUCUGCGAUUGGAUCCCUGCUCCAGCGCACUGACACCUACCGAAGUAACAAGUCUACAGCAGAUGCCAUCUUGUUGGCUCUGGAACAUCUGGACUGCAAAGUAUAGUUGGAGAAUGAAGACUUUACCAAAGUUCGGGAGCCUGAAGGAUUAAGUGGAGUCGGUGUCGGCAGCUUUGUUAAGGAUUCGACUUUAUUGAGUCUUCGGUCCAGAAAAGUGACCUGCCCUCUGAGAUAGCCUCUGCAAGAGCAGGAAGGCUUUGGGCAGUAUUCAUUGCUCAGAAUAAAAAGACUGGACUGUAUUCAGGAAUUCAUCUUUGAAUCUGGAUGAGUAUGUUGCAGUUCAUUAAAACCUGUUUGGAUGAGUGUGUGCCUACAAGACUUACUAUACAUUCCCAAACCAAAAGUAGUGGAUAAACCAGGAGGUACAUCGUCUGCUGAAGGGUACAUCUGUGGCAUUCAAGUCCGGCAAACCAAGCCUGUACCGGAAAACCAGGUAUGAUUCGCGGACAGCUAUCUCAAGGGUGAAGAGACAAUUUCGAAUGAGCUUGGAGGCAACAUUGGAUACACUGCAACUCUGGCAGGGUCUGCAGGACAUUACUUUCUAUAAAGUGAAACCCAAUAGCAUGAAAGUCAGCAAUGCUUCACUACCAGAUGAACUCAACGCCUUCUAUGCACAGUUUGAAAGGCAGAACACGACUAUGUCUGUGAAGAUCCCUGCUGCACCUGAUGACCCUGUGAUCUUCAUCUCAGAGGCCAAUGAUAGGCAGUCUUUAAAGAGAGUGAACCCUUGCAAGGCGAAAGGUCCUGAUGGAGGUAAGGUUCUGAAAACCUGUGCCAACCAAUUAGCGGGAGUAUUCAAGGACAUUUUCAUCCUCUCAUUGCUACAGGUGAAAGUUCCCACUUGCUUCAAAAAGGCAACAAUUAUACCAGUGCCUAAGAAGAAUAAUGUGGGCUGCCUUAAUGACUUUCACCUAGUAGCACUCACAUCAACAGUGAUGAAAUGCUUUGAUAGGCUGGUCAUGACUAGACUGAACUCCUGCCUCAGCAAGGACCUGGACCCAUUGCAAUUUGCCUAUUGCCACAAUAGUUCAAUGUAGAUGCAAUCCCAAUGGCUCUCCAAAUGGCUUUAGACCACCUGGACAACAUAAACACCUAAGUCAGGAUGCUGUUCAUUGACUAUAGCUCAGUAUUCAAUCCCAUUAUUCACACAAUCCUGAUUGAGAAGUUGCAGAACCUGGGCUUCUGUACCUCCCUCUGCAAUUGGAUCCUUGACUUCCUAACUGGAAGACCACAACCUCUGCGGAUCGGUGAUAACAUAUCUUCCUCGCUGACGAUCAACACUGGUGCACUUCAGGGGUGUGUGCUUUGCCCGCUGCUUUACCCUCUAUAUACACAUGUCAGUGUGACUAGGCAUAGCUCAAAUAUUAUCUAUAAAUUUGCUGACAAUACAACCUUUGUCGGUAGAAUCUCAGGUGGUGACGAGAGGGCAUACAGGAGUGGGCUAUACCAACUAGUGGAGUGGUGCCACAGCAACAACCUGGCACUCGACGUCAGUAAGACGAAAGAGCUGAUUGUGAACUUCAGGAAGGGUAAGACAAAGGAACACAUACAAUCCUCAUGGAGGGAUCAGAAGUGGAGAGAGUGAGCAGUUUCAAUGUGUCUGAGGAUCUAUCUGGUCCCAGCAUAUCAAUGUAGUUAUGAUGAAGAGCCUCAAUAGAGUGAUGGUACGACCGUGGUGGGUCUCAUCAGCAAGAAUGACAUGUCAGCUUACAGGGAGGAGCUGCAGAGCCAACAACCUGUCUCUUAAUGUGAACAAAACAAAAGAGAUGGUUGAUGACUUCAGGAGGGCACGGAGUGACCACUCCCUGUUGAACAUCGACGGCUCCUCGGUAGAGAUCAUAAAGAGCACCAAAUUUCUUGGUGUUCACUUGACGGAGCAUCUCACCUGGUCCCUCAACACCUGCUCCAUAGCAAAUAAAGCCCAGCAGCAUCUCUACUUUCUGCAAAGACUGAGGAAAGUCUAUCUCCCAGCCUCCAUCCUCCAUCUACAGGGGUUGUAUUGAGAGCAUCCUGAGCAACUGCAUCACUGCCUGGUUCAGAAAUUGCACCAUCUCGGAUCGCAAGACCCUGCAGCGGAUAGUGAGGUCAGCUGAGAAGAUCAUCGGGGUCUCUCUUCCCGCCAUCACGGACAUUUACACUACACUCUGCAUCCGCAAAGGAAACAACAUUAUGAAGGACCCCAUGCACCCCUCAUACAAUCUCCUGCCGUCUGGGAAAAGGCUCUGAAGCUUUGGGCUCUCACGGCCAGACUAUGUAACAGUUUCUUCCCC